AGAGACUAAUGCAGAACACCUACUGGAAAAGGAAAGGAAAGAGAGAGGAAGAUAAGAAUUUAUGAAAGAUCCUAAAAUAUAAACAGGAGCCCCAGCAGAUAACUUAGAAGGGUGGAAGGAAAAUUAUUUUUUCCUCCCUUACAAGGUGUUGUGGGUGGCCAAGAAAUGAGGAACAGCGUAGUGUUCAUCUACAAGGAAAUGAAGUCUCUGAACCUCAUCUUUGGACACAAUGUUCCAACCAGUUGUCUUAACCAAGUGCCUUGAAAAGAGAACAAGGUACCCUACGGGUGGUGUUGAGGCUGGUCCCCAACAUUGGUGGAAGAAGCACCUUUAUGGACCAGACAGCCAUGUACUCGGUCAGCCCCACUGCAGAUACGCCGGAAGGAGGUCCAAAAGCCGUUUUCAGGGAGAGGACUCUUUGCCCCUUGUUAGUUAAACCUUGGCAGACAUGCUGGGCAGGAAUGACAUACCCUAUGUGUAAGUACCUGGAAAACCCCACGGUGCUCCCACACACUCAACCGGAAGCAGCAUUUUCAGAUCUGCUCGUGCUGGUUCUUCUGCAUUAGUUGAUAGUCAGUUUAGAUUUCAGAUGUCACUGUCCCUGAAGGGCCUCCCCUGGUGCCUCAUAAAGGCCAAGAGACCACAAAAGUUGAAUGGCCAAGCCAGGCUGGCACGACGCAGUGCCCUA
rnacentral:lncRNA from 1 species